CCUACGGGUGGCUGCAGUAGGGAAUAUUCGGCAAUGGGGGGAACCCUGACCGAGCAACGCCGCGUGAAGGAAGAAGGAAUUAGUUCUGUAAACUUCUGUUAUAAAGGAAGAAAGACGGAUGGAGGAAAUGACAUCCGAGUGACGGUACUUUAUGAGCAAGCCACGGCUAACUACGGGCCAGCAGCCGCGGUAAUACGUAGGUGGCAAGCGUUAUCCGGAAUUAUUGGGCGUAAAGAGGGAGCAGGCGGCAGCAAAGGUCUGUGGUGAAAGACUGAAGCUUAACCUCAGUAAGCCAUAGAAACCGGGCAGCUAGAGUGCAGGAGAGGAUCGUGGAAUGCGAGGUGUAGCGGUGAAAUGCGUAGAUAUAUGGAAGAACUCCAGUGGCGAAGGCGACGAUCUGGCCUGCAACUGACGCUCAGGCCCGAAAGCGUGGGGAGCAAAUAGGAUUAGAUACCCUAGUAGUC
rnacentral:rRNA from 1 species